GCUGCGUUGGUCUAGUGGCAGGAUUAUUGCCUUCCAAGCAAUCGGCUCGGGUUCGAUUCCCGGACGCAGCA
rfam:Tetrahymena thermophila SB210 genomic scaffold scf_8254385, whole genome shotgun sequence.